rnacentral:rRNA from 1 species
UACAGAGGGUGCAAGCGUUAAUCGGAAUUACUGGGCGUAAAGCGUGCGUAGACGGUCAUGUAAGUCGGGUGUGAAAGCCCCGGGCUCAACCUGGGAAUUGCAUUCGAGACUGCAUGGCUAGGAUGCGGAAGAGGGAAGCGGAAUUUCCGGUGUAGCGGUGAAAUGCGCAGAUAUCGGGAAGAACACCCGUGGCGAAGGCGGCUCUCUGGGACGGUACUGACGCUGAGACGCGAAAGCGUGGGGAGCGAACAGG